CCCGCCUGGCAAAAGCAGGCGGCGGCUGCUGCCGGCAGACACGGCCGGCUCACUUGCACCACGCCCCCCUCUGUGCCUGAGGGCACCAUGAGCGGCCGAGUUGGGGACCUGAGUCUCCAGCAGCAGGAGGUGCUGGCCAGGUUCCGGGAGAAUGUCCAGGACCUGCUGCCCGCCUUGCCUAAAGCCGAUGACUACUUCCUCCUGCGCUGGCUCCGAGGUCAAGAGAUACCUCCUUGAGGAAGCUUGCCUCAACAUGCUGCAUGCACUGAGUCAGAUGCCUCCUGGAGUUUUUCUUACCACCCUGCGCUCAUCCACAUUGUUCCAAAUAUCCAUGGUCUGUUUCACAUGGCUUAUCCAGAGACACCGUGAAUGGAGGAACUCCAGCAGUGUUUUGUGGAGACACUGUGGCCAGCCCACUAAGGCAUGUCUUGUAUUUCUCUCCUUUCUUUUCUCUCCCUUUACCCUUGCUGGGCUGGGAUUACAUCUCCAAGAAAGCAUUAGCACAUAUUGCCUUAGGCUCUGUUUUCCAGGGAUCAGACUGAGAUACUAGCUGUGUGACCUUGAGCAACUUUCUUAACCUCUCUGAGCUUCUGAUCCUUCAUCUAUAAAAGGGAGAUAAUAGUGCAGCAUCUUUCACAGGUGUUGUGGUAUUUAACAAGACAGCACAGGCUAAGUACUUUCAUUAGUAUCAUUACUGAAUCAGGCACUAGGUCCUAUCAUGUGAAAACACUUUUUUAACAUUGAUUGCCAUGAAUAUUGUCAACUGGGUUUCGGGUACUAUGCUAGUCUCUGCCCUCAAGGACCUAGAAAGUGAGAGAGAAGUAAUUGUGAAAUUAUACUCAGUAUAAUCAGAGUUUAAUGGAGGAGGGAGUGCACAAGACUAAGAGUCUGUGACACCUAAUCAGUCUUGGUAGUCAGGGAUGGUGUUUCAGAGGAAGAAUCUAAGGUCUGAGGGACAUGUAGUUGUUAACCAGAUGGUGGACAGGCAGAGGGCAAAGUAUUCUUUUUUUUUUUUUUUGUAGAGAGAGAGAGUCUCACUUUAUGGCCCUCGGUAGAGUGCAGUGGCCUCACACAGCUCACAGCAACCUCCAACUCCUGGGCUUAAGUGAUUCUCUUGCCUCAGCGUCCCGAGUGGCUGGGACUACAAGACCACAACGCCCAGCUAUUUUUUGGUUGCAGUUUGGCUGGGGCCGGGUUUGAACCCGCCACCCUCGGUAUAUGGGGCCGGCGCCCUACCCACUGAGCCACAGGUGCCGCCCCAGGGCAAAGUAUUAUUAGCAGAGGGCAUGGCGUGGGCAAAGGAUUUGUGUUGAGGGAAAACAUUUCAAAUAUACUGGCUCUCCCUCUCAUGAACCAGGUAAAUUACAGGAAAAACAAAAUGGAUAAAUAUGCACCAACAAAAAUGCAUAAACGGGCAGCACCUGUGGCUCAAAGGAGUAGGGCGCCAGCCCCAUAUGCCGGAGGUGGUGGGUUCAAACCCAGCCCCGGCCAAAAACUGCAAAAAAAAAGAAAAGAAAAAAGAAAAGAAAUGCAUAAACGUGGUCUCUGCCAAGGAGCGUGUGGGUUGUGGAGCUGUACAAUUCAAUACAGUAGCUAUGGCGGCAUGUGACUAUUUAAAUUAAUGAAAAUUAAACAAAAUUUAAGAUUUAUUUCCUCAGUUCCGCUGAGCUCAUUUCCAGUGCUCCAUAGUCAUUUGUGGGCAAUGUUGGACUGUGCAGACAUAGAACACCUCUAUCACUGCAGAAAAUUCUACUGGGCAGAGCUGCCAAAGAUUCUGAGAACAGGCAGUCUAAUCAGGACAGAUUUCCUGGAGAAGGGGACAGAAGGGCAUAGAAAAGAGGUUUGGGAAGGUCUCUGGGUGGUGGCAUUGCCUUCUGUCCUCAGGAAGAGAAAAUCCAGAGCUGACAGGAGGGGCGGGGGUAGUGGCUGUAGAAACAGUGUACAACCUGACACCUCUUUGAUCAGGGUACAAUCACUGAGAGGGAGCACACAGGAAUGCAGGGGGAACCCGCUAAGGUCAAGCUGAACUAGGAAGAACCACCCUUUCUGGGGCCAGGAGGACACUGGGAGUUGUAGUUUGGCACUUCUGGACACACACACCCACCCAAAGCUGGAGAGGGAUGGAAAAGCUGAAACACUGGACUGGGCUGGAGGACAUCUUUUUGGGCAGGUGGUCAAGGCUGGGGACACAUCUGGGUUUGGGGGCCUUGCAAGGGUGAGGAAUGGGCCUUAGGGAGAGGUGGAAGGAUGACUAAUUCCCUUCAGUGUUUAUGUUCUGAGAUAGAAAGUGCCAUGACAGAAAACUCAGUUGUCUGAGAAACAUGGAAUAUUUAGUUAAGCAGAACCUUCAGCCCACUUAUUCUUGUUCAUGGGAAUUUUCCCACCAGAGAUAAGAAGUUCUCUAGCAGGUGCGUCCAACCUUGUCUUUUCUCUAUUACACAUUGGAACUUCUUCUCUGGCCAUACAGUAUAUACACAAGCACUAGGGAGAGCUGAUUAGCAAAAGAAAAAGGUCCGGCAUACUUUGCAAUACCACAGACAAGCAAAAAAAGUCCUCACGAGAUCAGUGUGCGGCUCAGGGGCCACAGGUUGGACACCCCUGCUCUAAAGUUAGGGAGGAGAAGGAGCAGCAGGUUAUUCAUGCACCCAGCAUCUAUUCAUCCAUCACCUACUGUGUGUGGAGCUCUGCUCUAGGCACUGGAAAUCAGGGGAGUGAAUAAGAGACAAAAGUCUCUCCUUGAGAAGUUCUAGAGAGAAGAGCAGACAAUAAAUGAUUUAUCUUUGCUCAUGUAACUAACAUACAUGUACCAUAUAAAAGCACCACUUAAGGUGGAUUUGAGGGAUUUUAAUUUUCAAUUCGUUCCUGACCUCACAGACUUCUCUUGGAAGUGGCAGUCAUAGGUAAAAGCCACUGGGUUUGGUCCUAUCAAUUAUUAUGCUCAAGAUAUCCAGAUGAUAAAGGAGACCGUCCUAAAACAUAAAAGACUUGAUGAAGCCUCUGCCUCACCACCCCCACCAUUUCUGGAUUUCAUCACUAUGGGAGAGUCUGCUAGGGAGCCUCAGGCUGUUGAUAAAAUGGGGGUGGAGAUCCCAACUUCAAAAAGGUUGUGGUGGAAAAGGAUGUGCAACGUGAGCCGCCCUUGUGCCACACACACACACACACAAAACAUACCUCAACAACUUAGGAGAAAGAUGAGGCAAAAGGGCUCCUGUCAAUUCUGAAGCCACACAAUGUGAAGUUUUUUUUCUCUCUCUUUAGUGAAAUCCAGCCGACUUACAAUAAAGGCACAUAUGAUUUUAGGGCCUCUGGUUAUUCAUGCUUUGCACAUCUUCCUUAGGAGGACAUGUCACAAAUGCAAUUCCAUUUACUCAUGCAAUUGUUUUUUUCCUUUCUUUUCUUUUCUUUUUUU